UUGUUUUCAUAAAACCAGAAAUACUUUUAUCUUUUGUUCUUCAGGGAAGGGAUUCACAUUUUAUUCUGUUUACAUUUUUUUUUUAAUCACUGUCAUUCACUGCCUAUUUGGUGUUACUUUAUAGGUAAGCUUACAUGUAAGAGAACAAGUAUUGGUUUGCGUUUAUCUACAUGUGAUUAUUUUAUUGUCUAGUCCAGUCAUAUAACAUUAUGCUGAAAUUUACCACUGUGGGGAUGAAAGAUCACUAGUCACCAAGCAUAUUUAAACAUUUAAAUGUUUAAGAAAUAAUAAUAAGGAUAUAGUUUGGGUUAAUAGGAUACCAUAGUUUCUUCUCCCUAGGAAUCAAAAAUAAUGAUUUUUGUGUAUUUCUUAUGAAAUGCACUCAUGAAAAAGACUUUAAUUAUGGAUAGUGAAUAAUACAUUUCUCUAAUAAAAAUUUAAAUUGUAUAAUAGUUUUAUAAUAAAGUAUUUACAGUAAUCAGUAUUUUAAUAUGGAUGAAA
rnacentral:lncRNA from 1 species